UUGCUGCAUUGGCUAAGGUUUCUCUCUAGCCUAUGUUCUCUUACUCGGGAAAGACCAAACAAAAAGUGCUGAGACGCUUUAGUAGUUCUUCAAAUAUUCUCUAGCUUAUGCCAAUAAUGCAGUCUUCUUAUGAAAAAUAAACUUAUGAUGAGGAUAUUAAACAGUGAUCAUGAAAUAAAUUGUUUUUUUAUAUAUGAAAAAUAAAAUCAAAUAAGAUUUUUAAAAUAUAAAUAUUUUAUUUAAAGUUUAAAUUAACAUUCAGUUCAAACCAUUUAAAAAAAACAGUCCUGUACCAACAUUUUACUGAUGAGCUUGAAACAACCACCCAAUGUUGAAUGAAGAACAAACAUCCCUUUAUGAUAGCUGAAGAUUUUGAGGCAAUUGAAGGCAGAAUGAUACUCGCAAUUCAUGAUGAAA